GUUGAGGUAAGCCCGUGAGCCAGUGGAGGACAGUCAGAGUGGGAGUUAAUGCGGCUGAAUAACUCCGUGACGUCGUCAACUGCUGGGCAUAUCGGAGACCAGAGGACAUGCCUAUAAUAGGGGCUGGAUUCCGAGAUAAAAAUAUAGACGGCGAAAUUUCGAAGUUUUGUGUAGCGGACAGACGCACAUACUGCGGGGCACGAAUAGAAUAUAGUGAUUUCGAAACGGCUAACGCGAUACCGCAGCGUCUACCGUGCGUAAUGUUACCGGCCAGUGUACAUCGGCGUUGUACAUAAUUAAUGGCGUUAUCGUUUUGGCGGUCAUCCCGAGUGUACGCGUAGGUGAUAAUGAAACCCGCGCGCAAUAGAGAAAGACGUUCUCGGGCGAAAAAGAGAUGGAGGAAAAAAAAAAAAACCAACCGUACCUGGGUG